GUCCACGCUGUAAACGAUGGGCACUAGGUGUCCGGGGUAUUGACCCCCUGGGUGCCGCAGCUAACGCAUUAAGUGCCCCGCCUGGGGAGUACGGUCGCAAGAUUAAAACUCAAAGGAAUUGACGGGGGCCCGCACAAGCGGUGGAGCAUGUGGUUCAAUUCGACGCAACGCGAAGAACCUUACCUGGGCUAGACAACAGUGGACCGCUCUAGAAAUAGAGUUUUCCCUUCGGGGACCGCUGGUUCAGGUGCUGCAUGGCUGUCGU
rnacentral:rRNA from 1 species